UACGUAGGGGCCGAGCGUUGUCCGGAGUUACUGGGCGUAAAGCGCGCGCAGGCGGCGCAUCGCGCCCGGCGUGAAAGCCCCCGGCUCAACCGGGGAGGGGCGUCGGGGACGGGUGCGCUUGAGGACGGCAGGGGCAGGUGGAAUUCCCGGUGUAGUGGUGAAAUGCGUAGAGAUCGGGAGGAACACCGAUGGCGAAGGCAGCCCCCUGGGCCAAUACUGACGCUCAUGCACGAAAGCGUGGGGAGCAAACAGG
rnacentral:rRNA from 1 species